rnacentral:piRNA from 1 species
UCCCUGGGCUAAUAUAGCAGAGAGGAG